GGCCAGGGGGAAAGAAAAAAUAUAGACUAAAGCAUUUGGUAUGGGCAAGCAGAGAGCUGGAAAAAUUUUCAAUUAACCCUGGCC
rfam:HIV-1 isolate 94CY017.1g from Cyprus gag protein (gag) gene, complete cds.